rnacentral:rRNA from 1 species
GACGAACGCUGGCGGCGCGCCUAACACAUGCAAGUCGAGCGAUGAAAUUUUAACCGAUCUCUUCGGAGAGAAGAUAAAAUGGAUUAGCGGCGGACGGGUGAGUAACACGUGAGAAACCUGCCUUUCACAAGGGGAUAGCCUCGGGAAACCGGGAUUAAUACCCUAUGACACAUUUCCUUCGCAUGGAAGAAAUGUUAAAACUCCGGUGGUGAAAGAUGGUCUCGCGCCUGAUUAGCUAGUUGGUGGGGUAACGGCCCACCAAGGCCAUGAUCAGUAACCGGCCUGUGAGAGUGAACGGUCACAUUGGAACCGAGACACGGUCCAAACUCCUACGGGAGGCAGCAGUGGGGAAUGUUGCACAAUGGAGGAAACUCUGAUGCAGCGACGCCGCGUGAGCGAUGAAGGCUUUCGAGUCGUAAAGCUCUGUCCUAUGGGAAGAUAAUGACGGUACCAUAGGAGGAAGCCCCGGCUAACUACGUG